rnacentral:miRNA from 1 species
AAUAUCUCUAUCAAUCCUGAGGA